rnacentral:rRNA from 1 species
UACGUAGGGUGCAAGCGUUGUCCGGAAUUAUUGGGCGUAAAGAGCUCGUAGGCGGCUUGUUGCGUCAGCUGUGAAAACCCGCAGCUCAACUGUGGGCUUGCAGCUGAUACGGGCAGGCUUGAGUUCGGUAGGGGAGACUGGAAUUCCUGGUGUAGCGGUGAAAUGCGCAGAUAUCAGGAGGAACACCGGUGGCGAAGGCAGCCUUCUGGGCCAACACUGACGCUCAUGCACGAAAGCGUGGGGAGCAAACAGG